rnacentral:rRNA from 1 species
UGAAGUUAAAGGCAUUGGNUCAACCAAUGUAUGCUUUGGAAACUGUUAGACUUGAGUGCAGAAGGGGAGAGUGGANUUCCAUGUGUAGCGGUGAAAUGCGUAGAUAUAUGGAGGAACACCGGUGGCGAAAGCGGCUCUCUGGUCUGUCACUGACGCCGAGGCUCGAAAGCGUGGGUAGCGAACAGGAUUAGAUACCCUGGUAGUCCACGCCGUAAACGCUGAGUGCUAGGUGUUAGGUCCUUUCCGGGACUUAGUGCCGACGCUAACGCAUUAAGCACUCCGCCUGGGGAGUACGACCGCAAGGUUGAAACUCAAAGGAAUUGACGGGGGCCCGCACAAGCGGUGGAGCAUGUGGUUUAAUUCGAAGCAACGCGAAGAACCUUACCAGGUCUUGACAUCCCGAUGCCCGCUCUAGAGAUAGAGUUUUUCUUCGGAACAUCGGAGACGGGUGGUGCAUGGUUGUCGUCAGCUCGUGUCGUGAGAUGUUGGGUUAAGUCCCGCAACGAGCGCAACCCUUAUUGUUAGUUGCCAUCAUUAAGUUGGGCACUCUAGCGAGACUGCCGGUAAUAAACCGGAGGAAGGUGGGGAUGACGUCAAAUCAUCAUGCCCCUUAUGACCUGGGCUACACACGUGCUACAAUGGUUGGUACAACGAGUCGCAAGCCGGUGACGGCAAGCUAAUCUCUGAAAGCCAAUCUCAGUUCGGAUUGUAGGCUGCAACUCGCCUACAUGAAGUCGGAAUCGCUAGUAAUCGCGGAUCAGCACGCCGCGGUGAAUACGUUCCCGGGCCUUGUACACAC